rnacentral:rRNA from 1 species
AUUGAACGCUGGCGGCAUGCCUUACACAUGCAAGUCGAACGGUAGGGGGGCAACCCCUGAGAGUGGCGAACGGGUGAGUAAUGCAUCGGAACGUGCCCAGUUGUGGGGGAUAACGUAGCGAAAGCUACGCUAAUACCGCAUACGACCUGAGGGUGAAAGGGGGGGAUCGCAAGACCUCUCGCAAUUGGAGCGGCCGAUGUCAGAUUAGCUAGUUGGUGGGGUAAAAGCCUACCAAGGCGACGAUCUGUAGCUGGUCUGAGAGGACGACCAGCCACACUGGGACUGAGACACGGCCCAGACGCCUACGGGAGGCAGCAGUGGGGAAUUUUGGACAAUGGACGCAAGUCUGAUCCAGCCAUGCCGCGUGCAGGAAGAAGGCCUUCAGGUUGUAAACUGCUUUUGUCAGGGAAGAAAUCCCUUGGGUUAAUACCUCGGGGGGAUGACGGUACCUGAAGAAUAAGCACCGGCUAACUACGUGCCAGCCGCCGCGGUAAUAC